UGAAACCCGCAUGAAAGAACACAAAAUGCAAUCUACACAAAAUCAAUGAUGUAAACUAACGUAAAAUUAUGAUUGCCACAAGAAAAUCACUCUAGUAAUAACUUAAAUGGAAUAAUGUAACGACCCUAAACCGUUGAAAUGCAAAGUGCAAGUUAAAACUGCCUCAAACACUUACUUCUUUACAUGAACAUUAUUUGUAUGGAUUGCAAAAGAAAUACGUAUUGUUUUAGAAAAUGGUCUAUUGGCAACUACUACAAAACUUCAAUCAUCUUUACUCCACCAUAAAUCUUACACGCAACUAAUCAUGUAGGACACAAAAUUUUACUCCAGGAUAAAAUUUGUGCGCAGACACAAAAAAAAUCACAUGUGAGUGCAAAUCUUGGGAGGAGUCUAGCUGCAUGAAGAAGUACCAGCCUGCAGACAAGAGCAAAGGUAGUCUAAAUUCUCAGGUACCAGGAAAUCAAACCAGAAAACCGACUCAAUCAAUUUAUGUACUGGAUCAUAUGCCAACACAUUUCCAUAGAUCCCUGUUAAAUACUGGUGCCAUCAUCUCCACAAACCGGGAAAAAAAUUCUACGAGACCUGGUCUUUUUUACGCCGUCCAAGGAAUGCCACGUCUCAACACGAAUCACGAAGCACCCUGGGUCUUGGGUCUUCUUCCUUUGACAACGACUUCGUUCUUUUUCCCUGAUGGAAUCAUCUUCCAGUUUAUUGCUUGGUCAGUACUCAGUAGUUAGUAGUAUCCUUCACGGGUAAUGGCCCGACACCCCGUCUCACACAGCUCCAUCCUCCCCUCAGAUCUAGAAGUACUUCAAUCCCCAAAGCUCUUAGCUCGUUAUAUCAUGGCCCUCAUGGAUCCUUUCCUCUCACGAAACUCCUCAGCUAAAAAUCAAAAAUUAGUCUGUUUGUCUACGUACUUGUUUAAAUCAAUUUGACAGAUCAACAAUUAAAUGGUCUUAUCUGAAGCAGUUUAAUUGAUCGAUCUGCACAUGUGCUUGUGAUUAAUUAGUAGCUCUGAUAAGAUAAUACAGACAUACAGCAGGCCACAGAGGAAAGCAGCAUGCGCAGGAAGGCCUUCCCUCCGCCGGCAUGGGGGCUCAGCUUCUACAUGCGUUAGUGGAGAACAUGGCAGCCGUAAUUUUGACAAGGAUGAGAAGCGGCCGGCUACAGACUUAUUUUCCAAACCCACAAACCCGUGUGAGUUGCAACCUCCAUAAACAGAUCGAAUGGCCUUGUUGUUCACUGAGGAGGAGAGUAGCAGUAGCUAUACCUGGUGCGGCACUGCGGCUCUGUGGAUUGUUCGAGUCCUCAUCGGCGUCGACCACAUCCGAAGCCUAGACGGCCACGUGUUUAUGAAGCCCGUGUACACCAUCCUGCUCACACCGCUGGCGCGGCGAGCUCGGCGAUUGGGGAGAGGAGGACUCGGCCACGAGGCGGUAGAGGAACGGGAAGACAUCGCCGCUGGCGGCGGAGAUGUGGUCCACCUAGCCCUCCAUCGAUUUUCUCCCCUGGACCUUGCUUGCUUGGGACCUGGGACUGGGAGCUGAAGCCCAGAGGACUGAGACAAAGAAAUAAGCGGAGGCCGCGGCAUGGCGGGUCAAGAAGCGGAGAUGCAGUAACAACGUGCGACGGCUAUGCAGAUGUUGAUUGCGCGGCAGAUAUUGAUUUCGACCAGCCAAAUCUGCCUCCCCCGCUACCUCGAUCAGCCGCGCCGCCUUCAUACGUCGCCGCCGCCGCACGCCGUUCCAGGAGAGAGGAUCAAGGAGAGAAAUUAUGCAGGCUUAGAAGAGAGAAGAAACUGGUACCUCGCUUCCACCGUCCGCCGAUGCUCGCCACUUGAUUUCUCACGCCGCCACAGAAGAAGAGACGAGAUGGCGGACGGAAUAGGGUUUCUUCGGUGUACUCAUUGUGCCCAUCUGAGCGGUGCUCCUGGAGAUGCUCCGUAUCAUGGCAUCGUCUCCAGCUCUCCCAUCAAAGGAGAAAUUUCCGCUGGCGUCCAAGGGCGCGGGGUACAGGAUAGAUCACCGUCCAUGAUUGACGUGAAUUGAGAUUGAUUACCAAAGAAAGGGAUUAAUUACCAUACAGAAAUUGAUUGUUUUGCCAAAUAUGGACCGAAAGAAAAACUGAUCGAGGGGUGAGGGAUAGCGAACGGAAAGGGAUGGACGAAGAGUGUUGAACGUAAGACGGGCG
rnacentral:lncRNA from 1 species